AGAGUUUGAUCCUGGCUCAGGACGAACGCUGGCGGCGUGCUUAACACAUGCAAGUCGAGCGGAAAGGCCCUUCGGGGUACUCGAGCGGCGAACGGGUGAGUAACACGUGAGUAACCUGCCCCAGACUUUGGGAUAACCCUCGGAAACGGGGGCUAAUACCGAAUACGACCUUGGACCGCAUGGUGUCUUGGUGGAAAGUUUUUCGGUUUGGGAUGGACUCGCGGCCUAUCAGCUUGUUGGUGGGGUAAUGGCCUACCAAGGCGACGACGGGUAGCCGGCCUGAGAGGGCGACCGGCCACACUGGGACUGAGACACGGCCCAGACUCCUACGGGAGGCAGCAGUGGGGAAUAUUGCACAAUGGGCGGAAGCCUGAUGCAGCGACGCCGCGUGAGGGAUGACGGCCUUCGGGUUGUAAACCUCUUUCAGCAGGGACGAAGCGUAAGUGACGGUACCUGCAGAAGAAGCGCCGGCCAACUACGUGCCAGCAGCCGCGGUAAGACGUAGGGCGCGAGCGUUGUCCGGAUUUAUUGGGCGUAAAGAGCUCGUAGGCGGCUUGUCGCGUCGAAUGUGAAAACUCGGGGCUCAACUCCGAGCUUGCAUUCGAUACGGGCAGGCUAGAGUUCGGUAGGGGAGACUGGAAUUCCUGGUGUAGCGGUGAAAUGCGCAGAUAUCAGGAGGAACACCGGUGGCGAAGGCGGGUCUCUGGGCCGAUACUGACGCUGAGGAGCGAAAGCGUGGGGAGCGAACAGGAUUAGAUACCC
rnacentral:rRNA from 1 species